rnacentral:rRNA from 1 species
AAAUUGAAGAGUUUGAUCAUGGCUCAGAUUGAACGCUGGCGGCAGGCCUAACACAUGCAAGUCGAGCGGUAGCACAGAGAGCUUGCUCUCGGGUGACGAGCGGCGGACGGGUGAGUAAUGUCUGGGAAACUGCCUGAUGGAGGGGGAUAACUACUGGAAACGGUAGCUAAUACCGCAUAAUGUCGCAAGACCAAAGUGGGGGACCUUCGGGCCUCAUGCCAUCAGAUGUGCCCAGAUGGGAUUAGCUAGUAGGUGGGGUAACGGCUCACCUAGGCGACGAUCCCUAACUGGUCUGAGAGGAUGACCAGCCACACUGGAACUGAGACACGGUCCAGACUCCUACGGGAGGCAGCAGUGGGGAAUAUUGCACAAUGGGCGCAAGCCUGAUGCAGCCAUGCCGCGUGUGUGAAGAAGGCCUUCGGGUUGUAAAGCACUUUCAGCGGGGAGGAAGGCGUUAAGGUUAAUAACCUUGGCGAUUGACGUUACCCGCAGAAGAAGCACCGGCUAACUCCGUGCCAGCAGCCGCGGUAAUACGGAGGGUGCAAGCGUUAAUCGGAAUUACUGGGCGUAAAGCGCACGCAGGCGGUCUGUCAAGUCGGAUGUGAAAUCCCCGGGCUCAACCUGGGAACUGCAUUCGAAACUGGCAGGCUAGAGUCUUGUAGAGGGGUAGAAUUCCGUGUAGCGGUGAAAUGCGUAGAGAUCUGGAGGAAUACCGGUGGCGAAGGCGGCCCCACAAAGACUGACGCUCAGGUGCGAAAGCGUGGGGAGCAAACAGGAUUAGAUACCACGUAGUCCACGCCGUAAACGAUGUCGAUUUGGAGGUUGUGCCCUUGAGGCGUGGCUUCCGGAGCUAACGCGUUAAAUCGACCGCCCGGGAGUACGGCCGCAAGGUUAAAACUCAAAUGAAUUGACGGGGGCCCGCACAAGCGGUGGAGCAUGUGGUUUAAUUCGAUGCAACGCGAAGAACCUUACCGUCUUGACAUCCACAGAACUUAGCAGAGAUGCUUUGGUGCCUUCGGGAACUGUGAGACAGGUGCUGCAUGGCUGUCGUCAGCUCGUGUUGUGAAAUGUUGGGUUAAGUCCCGCAACGAGCGCAACCCUUAUCCUUUGUUGCCAGCGGUCCGGCCGGGAACUCAAAGGAGACUGCCAGUGAUAAACUGGAGGAAGGUGGGGAUGACGUCAAGUCAUCAUGGCCCUUGACCGGGGCUACACACGUGCUACAAUGGCAUAUACAAAGAGAAGCGACCUCGCGAGAGCAAGCGGACCUCAUAAAGUAUGUCGUAGUCCGGAUUGGAGUCUGCAACUCGACUCCAUGAAGUCGGAAUCGCUAGUAAUCGUAGAUCAGAAUGCUACGGUGAAUACGUUCCCGGGCCUUGUACACACCGCCCGUCACACCAUGGGAGUGGGUUGCAAAAGAAGUAGGUAGCUUAACCUUCGGGAGGGCGCUUACCACUUUGUGAUUCAUGACUGGGGUGAAGUCGUAACAAGGUAACCGUAGGGGAACCUGCGGUUGGAUCACCUCCUUACCUUAAAGAA